ensembl:lincRNA
CUUGACAAAAAUCAAGAUAUUCAAUUGGAAUUGUUUAUUUUUAUGUUCUUUUUAAUUUCGGGAGAAAAUAUCUUUCAUCUCUUCUCUACACUUGAACAGCAGGUGGGCAGACACUGAAAUUUUUCAGGAGACUGAGCGUGUGGGCAAGUCACUUGGAAGAAGUUCAAACGUCAUGUAUAUUACUGAUGUUGACAACUGUAACUGCAGGACACAGGAGAAGCAAUCCUAGCUGGGGUAGAGCUGGCAUUUUCAAGAGUUGUAAGCUGUCCAGCAAUGAAGAAUUCUGUGUGAAAAACUAGAGGAGGUACUGGUACAAGAGAACAUGAGGAAGGCAGAAAAGGAAAAUAUGUAUAUUUGAGCACUGUUUGCAGAGUUCAAGUCAUUGUUUGGGAGAGAGAGCAUGUGGGGCUUUGCCAGAGAGGAACUUGGAUGGCAAUCACCUAAGAACUCCAAACUCAGUGCCAGGGCAGACUGGUGUCUAUUUUGGUGGGUUUCCAAGUUCUGAACAUUGGAAUUUAAAUGCAGAUGGAGGCCACUCUGGACGUGUGUCCACGG